GUGUUUCUGGGAAUCCCUCUCGUUGACUUUGUGCCGGCGCUGCCGCUUCGUGAGCAUUAAACCCAGAGAAGGACCGAGCUUAUUUUCUUAGUGUUGAAAGGUCAUAUUUAUCGUUUUCAAUUAUGUGGGAUCCAUAAAGUCUGACCCCUGCUCUCAGCGGCGCCGUCCGAACCGCUGGAGAGGGAGCCGAUCCCACACUGAGCUCUGUGAGUUCAGGGUUGUUGGAUUUGUGUUUUGUAUCGUCUCCAUAGGCCUUGAAGCCAAACGGCCGAGACUGAGAGUCGCCUCCGUUCUGCCACAGUCGCAUCAACGCACCUUUGAUGUUAACACUGGAUUAAUAACGGCCUUGAAGUUAAAGCGAUCUGAGAAUAAGGCCUGUGUAUCGGUGACUCAUCACUAAUGACUACGUCAAUAAUACACACAUACAGCAGGUUCACAGUGUGGUGGAUUUUGUUUUAACACUGGUUUAACCUUAGUCUGUGUAGUGAUAUGGGGCCAUAUAUCACCUCUUACACAGGCUCUACAUACACACUCCUCUACACAGAAACGCACCCAGCUCGUCUCUGUUGAGGACACAAGCAGAAGAAUGCGCUGGUAUUUUUAUGUGUGAGGCUCCGCCUGUGCAGCAGCUCUGCCUCCUCAGUCUGUCCGAGUGCAGCUUGCACGGUUUUGUCUCCCUCUCAGUGUCACUGUCCCUGCCGGCUGUCAGGAUCUGUCCACCCAGCAAUCUGCAGCCUCCCUGCAGCUCGACUGUUAUGGGAGCGGUGGACAAGCCGCUAUUUCCUCUGUGCAGCAUUUAGUGUUAUUUAUUAAACCUUGGUUGUGUUUCAGGCUGGAGACGAGCGGUGACGUGGGCCGUCGGCCCCCUGCUGCUUCUGCAGGAGACGCUAACCCCGUCUUCUGAUAAUCUGCCAAUUACCAAGUUUCUCCCAGUGUCAGGAGACCCCCACCCUCCAUCCCCUGCCGUCUCCAUGGAAACCUCUUCAGGGGCUGACAGCAUGACUGUGGAGGCAGGAUGAGCCCAGGGAUUACGUCUGAAAACAAACGCAGUUUUCCUAUUAAAAAGCUCAGAUGCUGGAGGAAGCCAGCAGCCUGAAACAUUAGCUCGCCGUCCCCAGAGACGCCGUCUGGGUGCUGUAAGAAACGCUGUCAGGCCUGGAAGGUCACACGUUACCUGGAGUAAUACGGGACGGACGUCAGCUGGCCGUCCAGCGCCACAAAUCACCAUUCAGCCCACGGCUGCUGUUCAAGGGAUGAGAGUCCACGUGUCGACAUGCAAAGCAGUGGGAACAGAGCAGGAGGACGUGAGAGGCAGCAGUUGGUGGAGACGCUGAGCUAACGAGGAGCAGCUAAAGAGGAAGCGGCUAACGAGGAAGCGGCUAACGAGGAAGCGGCUAACGAGGAAGCAGCUAACGAGGAAGCAGCUAACGAGGAAGCAGCUAACGAGGAAGCGGCUAACGAGGAAGCAGCUAACGAGGAAGCAGCUAACGAGGAAGCAGCUAACGAGGAAGCGGCUAACGGCUGCGCGCAUGCAGGAUGAGAGCGACAGACUGAGGACGUCCGGUGGGCGGUCAGAGAAUGACAGGACACAACAACAUCAGCAAAUGAAGCCUCCGGCCCAAAAUUACAGCAAUGAGGGAGAAUUCACAACUUAUCAAGAGACUAAAGUUGAAGAGGGUUUCUGUCAGCCAUCGUUAAAGGUUGUCUCUCUGGAGCUUGGCCUCCACCCACGUCGCGGGGCAGGAGGUGUGAGGCGUGGGAGAGCCUGAUACAGACAGGAACCAACCAGUUCCAAUAUAUGGAUGAAUAAAUAUAAUGAAUCAUGACCUGCGGUGCUGAACCAGCCAUUAGCCGCUAAUAGCCAGUGGCUCGAAGGGCAGCGACCGCUUGAGCUCAUUCAUUCAGUUCAAAUCUAAUUGUUAGAAGAUUCAGAAAUCUGUGAUUCUGCCAGAGUUCCCACUCAUGUAGCGACGCCACUCAUUCUCCUUCAUAGUUUGUUUACCAGCGUGUCUGAGCCAUGUUUGCACAGAUUGAAUGUUCCUUCUAACGCUCACAAGCCUCAGCGACCUUAUCAAUAAGCUACUUAAAACCUGCUGUGUUUGACCUGUGGCCAUAUUGGAUGUUUUGACCUUCGACCUUUCCACUGAACAGUUCAGCCUUGAUACCAUGAUUCAUUUUAUUGCAAAGCGUUCUCUGUAAAUUGUAUUUUCAAUAUCGCUCAGCAGUAAAUGUCUUGGAGGCGUCUCCAGGAUCAGACACUUGGGCCAUAAAGCGUUUUAACCUGGAGUAAAGGUCCACUUAGCUGCUGAAGCUGUCGUAUCACACGUGAGCCGCGGAUGCUGCUGUUCUUGCUAACUUUGCACGUUCGGGGUAAUUUGUGACCGUGUGGCUCAAUUAGAGCGAGCUGAUAAAAUCCAAUAUCGUCCAGUAUUGCUGCUGUAGCUUUACAAUAAAAUCAAUACGUGGCUGCAGAAAUUGCUGCAGGUGGUUUAACAUUGGAGUCAAUAAACAGGAGCCCGUGUGCAGAGGUUAAGAAAGCGGUGGCUCGGACCCUGCACCGGGCAGUUACCGGCCGGCCCACCGGCCUGCUGGGGCGGCGCUGGGUCCGUUUACAUCCGUCUUCUUUGUUGGUGUGAUGCCACUUCCUGUCUCUGUUCCUGUUUCGCUCUCAUCUCCUGCGUCUGCCUCAGUGUCAGGUGCUUCAGGCUUCCCUCCUCACACCACUGUCGCACCGUCAGUGGAGCCUCUGCCUCUAUUGGGACCAGCAUUUCCCACAUUAUCUGUCCACCAUCAACAGCUUCCUCUGUCUCUGUUUGUAGCAGACUUAAAUACUGUCAGUACUGCAGUAGUUAUGCUUCUGAACAGAACCAAGUUUCUUACUCUUUGACUUCCACCAGUGGUGAAAGUCUGCAGCUCUUCACCUGCUCCGCUGCCCAGCAUCAGCGAGCGACGGGAGCAUCA